rnacentral:rRNA from 1 species
UACGUAGGGUGCAAGCGUUGUCCGGAAUUAUUGGGCGUAAAGAGCUCGUAGGCGGUUUGUCGCGUCUGCUGUGAAAACCUAGGGCUUAACCCUGGGCCUGCAGUGGGUACGGGCAGACUAGAGUGCGGUAGGGGAGAUUGGAAUUCCUGGUGUAGCGGUGGAAUGCGCAGAUAUCAGGAGGAACACCAAUGGCGAAGGCAGAUCUCUGGGCCGUAACUGACGCUGAGGAGCGAAAGCAUGGGGAGCGAACAGG